CGGACCGAUUGACAGAAUUACCGACGAGUCCUAAAUGUUAGAUUUUCUUAAAGGGAAGUCAGUGGCAGUAAAAUCUGAAAAUGACAGUUUAUUACACAAAUCAUAAGAGCGAAGAAGGAGGGUUUUAUGGUGGGCGUGGCCAAAUCUCGGUUUGGUUGCAUCGCAGCGCAUACACAAUGGCUGCUGGAAAGAGGGGAAAGCAAACAAUUUUUAGGCCCGCCGCGUCCAGCAAAAAAUAUGAGAAAAAAAUUGUUAAAAAUCCGGGGAAUAGUUGAAAGUCAAGAAAAAUACCCUAGAAAGGAUGUGAACGUUCCCACGGGCAUUGUGUCUCUGCUGUGUUGAAGAUUUGGGCUGUCACACUCUCUCUGUGCUGGGACAUAUCACUCCUGUCCACCACAUGGCUUGCUGUCGCUAAUUUGCCAUGGCAACGGUAUCUCCAAACGACUGCCCCACUACGGCAGAACACUGUCGAGUGCGGAAGAGGAGAGUAGAGGGUAAAGUGAGGAAGAACUUCUCCUGUCAGUUGUGUGAGAAGGCCUUCAACAGCUUGGAGAAGCUGAAGGUACACUCGUACUCCCACACAGGGGAAAGGCCGUAUCACUGCACACACACUGACUGCACCAAGGCCUUCGUCUCCAAGUAUAAACUCUUACGGCACAUGGCCACACACUCUCCAGAAAAGACACACAAGUGCAGCUACUGCGAGAAGAUGUUCCACCGUAAAGAUCACCUGAAGAACCACCUCCACACACACGACCCCAACAAGGAGGCUUUCGGCUGCACAGAAUGCGGCAAGAGCUACAAUACUAAACUAGGCUUUCGAAGGCACCAAGCCCUUCAUGCCGCACACCGUGGAGACCUCACCUGCAAGGUGUGUCUGCAAUCAUACCCAAGCACUCCCCUACUGCUGGAGCACCUACGUGGGCAUGCAGGGAAAAGCGCUACCGCAACUAAGGAAAAGCGACAUCAGUGUGAACACUGCGAAAGGCGUUUUUACACCCGUAAGGAUGUGCGACGCCACUUGGUUGUGCACACAGGACGCAAGGAUUUCCUUUGCCAGUACUGUGCACAACGAUUCGGCCGUAAGGAUCACCUUACCCGGCAUGUUAAAAAAAGCCACGCUCAUGAGCUGCUGAGGGUUAAGGCAGAGCCCGUAGAUUUGAUGGAGCCACAAUCCUCACCAACAUCUGGGCCUCUCUCUCUAAGAUAUCCAAUAGGUCAUGCUUCUUACUCGCCACCGCCGCCACUGAGGGCGGAGCUUGAAAGUUAUCUCUUAGAGCUACAGGCUGAAGAUACACCCAAGCUGAGUGCUUCUGCAACGGUGACUGGAGAGACAACAUCGUCCCUGGACUUUCUGUCUCCAUUGUUUAAUUUUCUGCCUUACAAUCAAGGGGCAGGGCCUACUUUGGGAGUGGCCUACAACCAGGAGGAGGGGCUACUGACCACCCCCAUGCAAGACACCCCAGAGCCUCUUAGCCUCCUUCACACAAUCACACAUUCACACACACUGUCACAAACCAAUGCACUCACUCCGAGUUAUACACAUCCACCAUCUCUGAAUACAACCACCACCCUGCCUCGCUUCCACCAAGCCUUCCAGUAACCCAAAUACAUUCACACACUUACAAUUUUUGUAGCACUUAUUAAAACACUCUUAUGUUUAUUAUCAACUUAGCCCUUAAUCAGAUUUAUACAAGCAAAGAGUCUCUGAAAUCCCGCCAAGGAAACAAUCUGCUUCCUCAAGCCAGUACCACAUUUUUAAGGAAAGUCUUUAGGACAGUAUCACAUUUUCGGUCAUUCAAGAAGUUGAAAAUGCAAUACUCAUUUUAUUUUCCGUCUAGAGGUGUUUUGGCAAUCAUUUUAACAAUGGAGGAUGGCAAUCACCUUACAAAUAUAGCUGAACAUUAAAUACAUGGUUAUGUUAUUUGUGAGAGCAGAGUUCAGUUUGCAGUGAGGUUUCACUCCCAAAAUGCUGAAAGAGAGAGAGAUUAACACUUUUAACUCAUUAACACUUUAAACUUCUAGAGGCGUUGAAGUUCCAUCAAAGCUAAAAGAUAUUUUGUCUAAUGUUGUUUCCAUCUUGUUGUUUAAUAUAUAGCUCAUAAACUGUUGGGUACUGAACUACCACCGUUUUAGUGACUAUGUCACAACUAUUUAAAGCCAAAGGCAACCAAAACCUUCAUAUCUAAAAAAAUACAUAAAAGGAAGGUUCAUCUCUUGUUUUUUUUUUUUUUGUUUUUUUUGAUGGCUGUUUGCCAUCAUGCUGCUGCUCGUUGUAAGGGCCUCAAAGGAUACCAGUGCAGGAAUGCUUCACAAUUCACAUCAACAAAGGGAAAGAAAGACGAAGACUCUCUCUCUCACCCACAUACACGCUCAAAUCCUUUUACUCUCUUACUUCAUUCAACCUCAUCCACCAGAAUGCUGGCUAUUGCACUGAUCAAAGCUGUCAAUGAAAGAAACAUUCAUACCAGUUUUUGUCAUAUCAGUUUUUGCUGUCUCGGUUUUAAGCUCACAGCUUAUAUAACUCCAAAAGACAAAAUACAGUCUGUGACAGAGUGUGUCAUUAUAUUGACUUCUCUACAGUUUACCUGGAUAUAAGCUGAGGAUGUAGUUGAUCUCGGUAUCAAAUCCAUUGAAGUUUGUAAUGAACGUAAAGGUUAUUCACAUUGACAGUGAUUUGCAAAGCAGUCAAAUUAGAGUUGGCAAUUUGAGGCGACACAAGUGACAGAGACCUCAACUUUAUGCAAAUGGCCAGUGAAGCAAUGUGUUGGUUACUAAAGGAAGUGUGCACAGAUAUGAUGAGAUCACUCAUAUGAUCUAUCACUGAAUAAAGAAUUUGAGUAGGAAUACCUGCUAGUAACCCACAGUACAGCAAGUGGUUGAUUUCCAGCAAUGUAACUGCUGUCAGUACGAAUGCAUCUUCCUCUAUAGACAUCCUCUAGAGACUGAUCUGUGUGUGUGUUUAUAGGUAUUUGGACAGAAUGUUGGCUAAAUGUCUGUUUAAUGGGAUUUUGAUUUACUUCCUCGGAAGCUGAAGGUUGUUAAAAGCAUAAAUAUUCAGAGAACCUCCAUUUGGGGCAUAUAUUUCAUAAUAGCACUUUCAGAAAAAAAUAAUAUGCCUUUUUUUUUGUGAAAGUAAAUAGUAUAGAUGUCAUAAGUAGCUUUUAGAAGAUUUUAAGCAUACAUACACAGUGCUAUAUGUGUGAUAUUUUUACAGGUACACUCAAUACAGUGUUUUUGUUAUUGUUGUUUUGCUUUAUUGCACAAAAUAUCUAAUUGUCAGUGCCUCUCGACUGAGGCUUCAGCUAAACAAAGAAAAAAGGUCAAUUCCAGCAAGAUUACUUUAGCAAGUACUUACGACAUUUAAGGUUUCUGGUAGCUUCAGUAUUGACAAAAUUGUGUAGAUCUAGGUGGCCUGCUACCAUGAGGUCAUCUGAAUGAGUGAUGUCAUUCAUUUAUAUUGCUGCUGAAUUAUGGACUUAUAUUGUUAAUCUAUAGGAUUACUCGAAAAAGAAAACUUUAUCAUUGGGAGCCACAAACUCUCCUGUUCAUGCUCAUCACAACACAGAGUGUGUGAGCGACACUCCUGCAAUAAAUCUGAUGGAUAAUGCUGCUAAUGGACAGUGUAUAGCCCCUGGUGGUGCAACCGACUUUCUCUCCUCUUUUUACCACCCAACAUUUCAAACUGUGUUUUAAAGUAGGUGUGUGUGUGUGUGUGUGUGUGUGUGUGUGUGUGUGUGUGUGUGAGUGUGAGAGAGAGAGUGUGUGUCAUGGGUUGGGGGUUACGUGAGCCAUAUUGUUAAUGUUUUUGUAAUAUGGUGCAUAUGACACAAACCAUUUAGAGGAUGGACGACACCACAGCAUGGGGAAGGCCGUGGAGGUACUGACCUAUGAUCCAAGAUAGAUGAUAUGGACAGAUGAAAAAGACAGACAGCAUUCCAGCCAUAAUUAUGUGUGUCAUUGUGUUCUUUUUGUUUUAAUGCCAUUCUGUUAAUGGCCUGCUAUUGCUAAUCAAGUAUAUUUUACUUUAAUGUAUUUUACAAACUACUGUUGUACAUGUAUAGCCUAAGACAGACAGAAUCCUAUAUAUCUAUGUGUAUGAAUGUGUGUUAUGCAUUUGUCUCCAUCAUGAGAGCCUGCUGCCACAGCUGACGAUUAAUUUGUCUCCUACUGAUAACAUCAUCCAAAGAGAAGGUUAUUUAUUCACUGACUAGUGGAGUCAGGUGUGUGUUAAGGAAGGCAGGCUGUUGGCAGUUGUGCAUGUUUCUGAUGAAAAGUGUGUGUUUCUGUGUAUGUUCAGACGACCUUUGCUGCUAUGUGAGGAGAGGAGAGAUUUGGUCCAGUGUUAAUACUGUCCACAGUAAUGAGUGAUCAAUAAACACAAGAGAGACUCACUCUACAAGGUGUUUGUGUAAAUGCAAAUGCACACACACUAGUUUCAAUUUUUAUUGGGACAUUCCAUAAACGUAAUGAUUUUUAUACUUUACAAUAUGUAUUUUCUACCCCUUUACCCUAACCCUAUCCCUAAACCUAUCCCUUAACAUGAAACAUUUUUAUAUUUUCAAAAAACAAUCUUUAGGAUAAAUAAGCUUCCUCAUGGGGACCAAAUAAAUGUCUCCACAAAGUCCAAAUUUACUGAUAUUACUGUAAUUGUGGGAAUAUUUGGUGCUGUAAUGUAGGGAACCAGGACAUACACUCACCUUUUUUCCCCAAACCCUUUACAGGACAUACUUCUCACAUUUUUACGUUGCUUAAAAAAAAAAAAAAAAAAAAAAAAAAAAAAACAGUUGUAUGAUAACUGUGAUAACUUUGCAAAUAUAAGCAAAUAAAUAAAUAAACAUUGACGUAAACAAGUAAUUAGUAAAGAUUUUCGCAUCAUACCCAAAAAGUCCCAACAAAGUACCGAGUUAAGGGUCUGAAUAUUUUUUGUCAAAGUGUGUGUUGUUUUUCUUUUAUCUUUUUCUUUUUUUGUAUUAACAUAAAAAAUAUAGUGCAAAUCUCUUAUUAUUUAGGCAUUGUUCCUAUAAUAAAAUUGUAAUUAUCAAUUUAUAACAUUAUGGUAGUUUGUUUUAUUGAUGUAUUUAUUAUAUUUUUUUUUAAUUCAGUUUAAUUUUAUUUGCAACAUUUAUAAUAUGUAAUAAAUCCAUGUUAAUUUUUUAUUCGGCAAAAAUCCAGCAAAAUGCUUUUUGUUCCGGCGGAAAUGUUGACGCGGUGUUGAUGUCACACAGUACCCGGAUGGCUCAUAUAAAAAAACGAGCAGGCCUUCAAGCCUUCCUUUUUGGAAGGACCAGAGCGUGGUCGUGUUGUGUUCUUCCUGACUCACCGCUGUUCGCGUUUCAACUGUUUCCACGAAUAAGUCGGUCAGGAAUUAGUAACCAUGGCAUUCAAAGACACUGGUAAGGCUCCUGUUGAGGCUGAGGUGGCAAUUCAUCGCAUCCGCAUCACUCUGACCAGCCGCAAUGUCAAAUCUCUG